UACGGAGAGGGCGAGUGUUAUUCGGAAUUAUUGGGCGUAAAGGGCGCGUAGGCGGCUGGGCAAGUCAAAGGUGAAAUCCCUCGGCUCAACUGAGGAACUGCCUUUGAAACUGCCUGGCUUGAGGCCGGGAGGGGGUAGCGGAAUUCCCAGUGUAGCGGUGAAAUGCGUAGAUAUUGGGAGGAACACCAGUGGCGAAGGCGGCUACCUGGACCGGUUCUGACGCUGAUGCGCGAAAGCGUGGGUAGCAAACAGG
rnacentral:rRNA from 1 species